rnacentral:rRNA from 1 species
UACGUAGGGUGCGAGCGUUGUCCGGAAUUACUGGGCGUAAAGAGCUCGUAGGUGGUUUGUCGCGUUGUUCGUGAAAACUCACAGCUCAACUGGUGGGCGUGCGGGCGAUACGGGCAGACUGGAGUACUGCAGGGGAGACUGGAAUUCCUGGUGUAGCGGUGGAAUGCGGCAGAUAUCAGGAGGAACACCGGUGGCGAAGGCGGGUCUCUGGGCAGUAACUGACGCUGGAGGAGCGAAAGCCGUGGGGAGCGAACAGG